AUAAACGCUAGCGGCAGGCCUAACACAUGCAAGUCGAGGGGCAGCGGGUGGAGUAUUUCGGUACUCCUGCCGGCGACCGGCGCACGGGUGCGUAACGCGUAUGCAACCUACCUUUAACAGGGGGAUAAUCCGAAGAAAUUUGGUCUAAUACCCCAUAAUAUCAUUUAAGGCAUCUUAGAUGGUUGAAAAUUCCGAUGGUUAGAGAUGGGCAUGCGUUGUAUUAGCUAGUUGGUGAGGUAACGGCUCACCAAGGCUACGAUGCAUAGGGGGACUGAGAGGUUUUCCCCCCACACUGGUACUGAGACACGGACCAGACUCCUACGGGAGGCAGCAGUGAGGAAUAUUGGUCAAUGGACGCAAGUCUGAACCAGCCAUGCCGCGUGCAGGAUGAAGGUGCUAUGCAUUGUAAACUGCUUUUGUACGAGGGUAAAUGCAGGUACGUGUACCUGUUUGAAAGUAUCGUACGAAUAAGGGUCGGCUAACUCCGUGCCAGCAGCCGCGGUAAUACGGAGGACCCGAGCGUUAUCCGGAUUUAUUGGGUUUAAAGGGUGCGUAGGCGGAUUAGUAAGUUAGAGGUGAAAGCUCGAUGCUCAACAUCGAAAUUGCCUCUGAUACUGUUAGUCUAGAGUAUAGUUGCGGAAGGCGGAAUGUGUGGUGUAGCGGUGAAAUGCUUAGAUAUCACACAGAACACCGAUUGCGAAGGCAGCUUUCCAAGCUAUUACUGACGCUGAUGCACGAAAGCGUGGGGAGCGAACAGGAUUAGAUACCCUGGUAGUCCACGCCGUAAACGAUGAUAACUCGUUGCAGGCGAUACACAGUCUGUGACUUAGCGAAAGCGUUAAGUUAUCCACCUGGGGAGUACGUUCGCAAGAAUGAAACUCAAAGGAAUUGACGGGGGCCCGCACAAGCGGAGGAACAUGUGGUUUAAUUCGAUGAUACGCGAGGAACCUUACCCGGGCUUAAAUUGCAGAUGAAUUACGGUGAAAGCCGUAAGCCGCAAGGCAUCUGUGAAGGUGCUGCAUGGUUGUCGUCAGCUCGUGCCGUGAGGUGUCGGGUUAAGUCCCAUAACGAGCGCAACCCCUACUGUUAGUUACCAGCACGUCAAGGUGGGCACUCUAGCAGGACUGCCGGUGUAAGCCGAGAGGAAGGUGGGGAUGACGUCAAAUCAGCACGGCCCUUACGUCCGGGGCGACACACGUGUUACAAUGGUCGGUACAGAGGGUCGCUACCCCGUGAGGGGAUGCCAAUCUCGAAAGCCGAUCUCAGUUCGGAUUGGAGGCUGAAACUCGCCUCCAUGAAGUUGGAUUCGCUAGUAAUCGCGCAUCAGCCAUGGCGCGGUGAAUACGUUCCCGGGCCUUGUACACACCGCCCGUCAAGCCAUGGGAGUUGGGGGUGCCUGAAGUACGUGACCGCAAGGAGCGUCCUAGGGCAAAACCGAUGACUGGGGCU
rnacentral:rRNA from 1 species